UAGGGAAUCUUCCACAAUGGACGCAAGUCUGAUGGAGCAACGCCGCGUGAGUGAAGAAGGUUUUCGGACCGUAAAGCUCUGUUGUUGGUGAAGAAGGAUAGAGGUAGUAACUGGCCUUUAUUUGACGGUAAUCAACCAGAAAGUCACGGCUAACUACGUGCCAGCAGCCGCGGUAAUACGUAGGUGGCAAGCGUUGUCCGGAUUUAUUGGGCGUAAAGCGAGCGCAGGCGGAAGAAUAAGUCUGAUGUGAAAGCCCUCGGCUUAACCGAGGAAUUGCAUCGGAAACUGUUUUCUUGAGUGCAGAAGAGGAGAGUAGAACUCCAUGUGUAGCGGUGGAAUGCGUAGAUAUAUGGAAGAAUACCAGUGGCGAAGGCGGCUCUCUGGUCUGCAAACUGACGCUGAGGCUCGAAAGCAUGGGUAGCGAACAGGAUUAGAUACCCUGGUAGUCCAUGCCGUAAAACGAUGAGUGCUAAGUGUUGGGAGGCUUCCGCCUCUCAGUGCUGCAGCUAACGCAUUAAGCACUCCGCCUGGGGGAGUACGACCGCAAGGUUGAAAC
rnacentral:rRNA from 1 species